UACAGGGGGGGCAAGUAUUAUUCUACAUGACUGGGCGUAAAGGAUGUACAGGUGGUUUUUUUAAUUUUUAAAAAAAUUCUAUGUAAGCACAUAGGUAUUUUAAAAAUAUUGAAAAACUUAGAGUUUUUAUAGAAGAUAACAGAACUUAUUUGAGAGUAAAUGUGAAAUGUGCCAAUACUCAAGGGAAUUCCACUCGGCGAAAGCAAUUAUCUAAUUAAAACUGACACUAAAACAUGAAGGUAUGGGUAUCGAACAGG
rnacentral:rRNA from 1 species